CUGUCAACGAUGUCCAUGCAAACUGGGCAGUCAAAAAUCACAUGCGGAGAGAUUGCUGUUUCUUGUUGACAGAACGAAGGCGGAGCAGUUGAUCUAACGUGUUGGAUGACCGAUUGGAAAGAUCCUUCUGAGGGUCUACCAGGCAAUUGUGCUCACUAUGGGCCGACCAUGUCACAAUAACUUUACGAGGGUUGGGUGGCAGUACGAGUGAGGGUGAAGUGCUUCCACAUCGUUAUCGACCUUGAUACCAAACACCUCCUGGAGAUCGUUCUUUCUGUCAGAGCAGGAAAAUCUUCGAUCCCCAACGCCUUUCCUUUUCGUGAAUGGGUUUCCACAGAUCCGGCAGUGCUUAGCAAGUGCUAGUAUAUGCUCUUGACUCAUUCCUGAAGGGUUAUGUUUAUUAUAAUGUGUGCGUGUGCAUCAUUUUAUGUAAUUCAUUCUGUUAUGUAUCCUUAUUUAGUGUCAGAUUUCAGACCUAAUUUAUA